CUACGGGUUGCACCAGUGGGGAAUAUUGCACAAUGGAGGAAACUCUGAUGCAGCAACGCCGCGUGGAGGAUGACACUUUUCGGAGCGUAAACUCCUUUUAUAUAGGAAGAAGAUGACGGUACUAUAUGAAUAAGCGCCGGCUAACUCCGUGCCAGCAGCCGCGGUAAUACGGAGGGUGCAAGCGUUACUCGGAAUCACUGGGCGUAAAGAGCGUGUAGGCGGAUUAAAAAGUGAGAAGUGAAAUCCUAUAGCUUAACUAUAGAACUGCUUCUGAAACUCUUAAUCUAGAAUAUGGGAGAGGUAGAUGGAAUUUCUGGUGUAGGGGUAAAAUCCGUAGAGAUCAGAAGGAAUACCGAUUGCGAAGGCGAUCUACUAGAACAUUAUUGACGCUGAGACGCGAAAGCGUGGGGAGCAAACAGGAUUAGAUACCCGCGUAGUC
rnacentral:rRNA from 1 species